rnacentral:rRNA from 1 species
UACGAACUGUGCGAACGUUAUUCGGAAUCACUGGGCUUACAGAGUUCGUAGGCGGUCUGGAAAGUUGGGUGUGAAAUCCCUCGGCUCACCCGAGGACCUGCAUCCCAAACUGCUUGGCUUGAGUAUGGGAGAGGAUGAGGGAAUUCCUGGUGUAGCGGUGAAAUGCGUAGAUAUCAGGAGGAACACCGGUGGCGAAGGCGCUCAUCUGGCCCAAUACUGACGCUGAGGCGCGAAAGCUAGGGGAGCAAACGGG